AUACAUUUAACUUCUAGGUCGCCCACCAGUAUAAUGCGGGAAUACAUUUAAGUUCUAGGUCGCCCACCAGUAUAAUGCGGGAAUACAUUUAAGUUCUAGGUCGCCCACCAGUAUAAUGCGGAAAUACAUUUAAGUUCUAGGUCGCCCACCAGUAUAAUGCGGGAAUACAUUUAACUUCUAGGUCACCCACCAGUAUAAUGCGGGAAUACAUUUAAGUUCUAGGUCGCCCACCAGUAUAAUGCGGGA
rnacentral:lncRNA from 1 species